GGCCGGUUAGCUCAGUUGGUUAGAGUGUGUCGCUAGUAAUGCCAAGAACAUGGGUUCGAUCCCUGUAUUGGCCA